AUUGAACGCUGGCGGCAGGCCUAACACAUGCAAGUCGAACGGUAACAGGAAGCAGCUUGCUGCUUUGCUGACGAGUGGCGGACGGGUGAGUAAUGUCUGGGAAACUGCCUGAUGGAGGGGGAUAACUACUGGAAACGGUAGCUAAUACCGCAUAACGUCGCAAGACCAAAGAGGGGGACCUUCGGGCCUCUUGCCAUCGGAUGUGCCCAGAUGGGAUUAGCUAGUAGGUGGGGUAACGACUCACCUAGGCGACGAUCCCUAGCUGGUCUGAGAGGAUGACCAGCCACACUGGAACUGAGACACGGUCCAGACUCCUACGGGAGGCAGCAGUGGGGAAUAUUGCACAAUGGGCGCAAGCCUGAUGCAGCCAUGCCGCGUGUAUGAAGAAGGCCUUCGGGUUGUAAAGUACUUUCAGCGGGGAGGAAGGGAGUAAAGUUAAUACCUUUGCUCAUUGACGUUACCCGCAGAAGAAGCACCGGCUAACUCCGUG
rnacentral:rRNA from 1 species